rnacentral:lncRNA from 1 species
GCUCAUUGUCCGAGGCAUUGAGCUUCGGCCUAAAGUUUAUGCAAACACAACAAAAUGAUUAUGCACAGGGCAUUUUAUGCCUUUUCUGUACUAAAUAAAAGGAUGUCCAUUUCUUGGUACCCGAAUUUUUGUUGUGGCGAAUUACGAUCUAAUCCAUGAAUUGGUAUGUUAGUAUUACCACAGCGCUUAGUUAAUCCAAUUUCAGAUUCAUCAAUUAUGUAAUAAUUAGACUACCGAAGAUAAAUAUAAACAGACAAGAACACAAGAAUUUGAAGUGGAAACCUAUGGGGAAAAAAUGCUUUAACUGAGUGAAAACCGCGAACCCAACCAACCUGAGAUAGAUUUCACUACUGAAUCAAGAAGUUAUAGGAGUAACCCUCUCAAGAUUUCACUAGUGAAUCAAGAAGCUAUGGGACUAACCCUCUCGGUAUUACGAAGUACUCCACAAAAGUUUAUGACGUUUGAUCUCCCUUAAUUCUAACACAGUCAGCCUCUUCAGAUCUAAUAACAUUUUUACUUGUGUUUUUUUUUUCUUGGUUUGUAAUCCAAAUGGCGUUUGAAUAUGGGAGCAAAUUAAACUCUAUAAUUUUAAUUCGGUAAUAAUUUAAAUUAUCUGUUAAUCUCUAUUUAUCUAGGGCAAUUGAUUCCUACUCAAAAUGCAUGAAAAAGACUUCUUAUAAUGCUAUCCCCAAUUUAAAUCUAUAUUCGAACCAAUUAACAGCACAAAUUAAAGAGUUUGGAUUUUGCAUUUUAUUUAAAGAGGCCAAGUUUUUAUGAUAUUUUGGAAUGAGAAUAGUUUGAUUAGGGGCUUUAAAAAGGAAAAAAACACUAAACGACGUGGUUUCAGUACAUUUUGGAUAAAAACUACUUUGUUCCGUUAACUAUAAGUGGAUGAAGAAUAACGAAUAAUUUAAAUUACUACCGAAUUAAAACUCCAUGAUUUAAUUAUUACAAUUAAAAUUAUAAAAUUUAAUUUCUUACCAUGACAAACUCUAAAUUUUUUACAUAAUUUUUCUACAAACAAAUAAAAUGGAAUAGUAGAGUAGUAAUUGAGAUAAUCCCCAUCAUAAAUAAGAAUCAAAAUAAUAACUGAAAUAAGCAAUAGUGAAAAUAAUAAAUGGCUAGAGUUUUUCACUCCCUUCUUUUUUUAAUUGUAUUUUUUUAUUAUAAUAAAUUUAUUCAAAUAUUUUACUAUGUAACAAAAAUAUUUAAAAUAAAAGUGAGUAUUUAAUAAAAAGUAAUGCGACAUACGGACUAUUUUUACAAAACUUUAGAUUGUCAUUAACGAGACAGGGAAAAAAGUCAAAAAAAAAAAACUAUUCAGUUCCAAGUCUUCUAUUUCUCUCCCUACCAAUCUUCCUCCUUUCUCUCUCUUAUGAGCCUAGAUAACAUUGAACUUGCCACCGGCCAGCCACCAUCGUGAUGCUUGUUUUUUACCGACAGCUACAUGAUUGCCGCCGCCGACACGAGAUAGGUGGGUGUAUGUCCAACCCAUCAUCAAGCACUCCGUUUUCACCAUUGAAUGAAUCCUUGCUUGAACACUUUGGACCGAGUGAAACUGAGUCGAAACAAAAUUGAGGAAAAAAAAAGUAAUUGAGGAGCAGAGAGUGGCAAGUGAGGAUAGAGAGAUUCACUCACAUUGGGUGCUGCUAUACAAUCAGAAAAAAAGAGCAUAAAUAUGGACCGAAUUGAUGUGGAUACUUACCCAAUUCCCUAUUAAAAAAGAGUUUUAACAAAAAAAACUCUUGAGAAGAUAAUAAAUGUAGACCUUUAAGAAAGUUCUACACAAAAAAAACUCUUAAAAGAUAUUAAUGCGUCUUCACCAUUUUCAAUAUCUAAUGUGUCUCUUUAGUAUCCAAUCUGAUUCAACUACAAACCCUUUCGUCUCUUUGCCUCUUCUUACAAUUUUUCCUUUAUUCGAACACAGUCUGGAAUUCUUUUUACUAAUUGAUUAUAACUAUCCAUUUUUCAAUUGCUCUUAAUGUGUGAUAUUAUCCUUAAAAAUUUGAUCUACUUAAAAAAUAUACUUAAAGACAUUUUUUCUAUUUUCAUUAAAAAUUAACUUUUGUUUUUAUUUUUAUUAGUUUUUUUUUUGGUUAUAUAAUUGUGUUAUUGUUUGGCAAUGACUAGCCACGAUUAUCUAAUAAUAAUCAUUUUAUACUCUGUUUGCAACCUUAAAAGAGAAAAAAUUAGAAAAAUAAUUUACUUUCCUUCCUUGUUUGGGGGAAAGAAAAAAAUAUAUCAAUGAAAACUAAGCAUAAAAUUUCACAUAACUUGAAUGAAACUAGCUUUGUUUGGUCUAAUUUUAUGUUGAGUUUUUAUUUAUUUUGAUUUUUAAUUUUUUUAUUUUUAUCGAACUUGUUAAUUAUUUGAUAUUUUUUAUACUUUUUUGAUUUUUUUGAUGAGAAAAGUUAAAAAAAUAUAAAAUAAUUUCUAAUUUGGAAAAAAAUCCAUUAAAACGAAGAAAAUUUAUUUUAGAUAGUUUCUUUGUUUUUAGUAU